AGAAUCAACAGUAACACGAUUGACAGAGGUAAAUCGAGUUCGCAGCAUCCGGGAUGUACGACAGGCGUCGCGCUGUAACAACCCUUUCACUGGAGGAGCGACGCUUCGGGGAGCCUCGAACUAAUCAUCGACUUCCCACAUCUCGGAUAACGGCACAGAGAGAAAGAGAGAGAUGGAGAGAGAAGAACCGACAAAGAGAGAGAGACAGUUGUAUUUACGAUGUAAUCGCACUUCUCGAUGGAUUCGCGUGUUGACCCGUGCGCGAGGAACAGGUCAAGAUAGUAGGGGCUGAAGGUGUGCGCGCGCCCCUUUCAUGAUCUACGCAGCGGUUUGUGUUUCCUAAGGGCGCACAUUGGAUUGACUGUCCUCAUGCGCCGCGAGGCUGCGAGUGCGCAGGUUUCGAGCGCGGCCGUUUUGGUCUUGUGCCAGGGUGAGGAUCGAAAUCCCGUAGUUUGCAUGAGCGGCGCCGGGAAUAACCAGUCGAUAAACCGAGACGCGGCUGCGCCCGAGUGAUCGCGCCGAAUCGCACACGUACCCCGCGUUUCUGAAAGCGCAAACGUCUCAAUUUUCAAUUUCCACUCAUAGAUUUGCAUGUAUUUUAAUUUUAACAAUCAUGUAAACGAAUACAAAUUCUCAUUGUAUAUAUAUUUACACAUUUCUUACUACAUUGCUGCAAAAAAAAUAUAUAUGUACACACA